UGCUUUGAGUUAGCAGCCUGACUAUAAUAGGCUGAUGGCUGGUGAUUUAAUAGUCACCAGCCU
rfam:Moellerella wisconsensis ATCC 35017 Sequence00008, whole genome shotgun sequence.